CUCCCGCAACAUAAACAACUCCCAAAAGGAUGCAAGAAGUUGCAGGGCGCCUUGCCUUCCUCCCCCUUGACACUAGGUAAGGUCUUCAAGAAGCGUCCAGACCAAACGCCCCCCACCCCACAGCCUUCUGAACCCCUCCCAGCUGAUGCACACGGAGCCCCCCCGCCCGAAUUUAAGCAGUUAGCCCCUUUGUGAUGGAUUUAGGGCCUCCUCUGAGCAAACAACAAGC